rnacentral:rRNA from 1 species
GACAGAGGUGCCAAGCGUUAGGCGGAAUCACUGGGCUUAAAGCGUGUGUAGGUGGAUUUGUAAGUACCUUGUGAAAUCCCACGGCUCAACCGUGGAACUGCUUGGUAUACUGGCGGUCUUGAGCCAGCUAGGGGCUACCGGAACAAAUGGUGGAGCGGUGAAAUGCGUAGAUAUCAUUUGGAACGCCAAUGGUGAAAACAGGUAGCUGGGGCUGUGCUGACACUGAGACACGAAAGCCAGGGGAGCAAACGGG